rfam:Microbial mat metagenome hsmat06_BHWP6048_y1, whole genome shotgun sequence.
GAGGGCAGGCCCCUCGAAGCCGCCAUACAGGUGGAGGCUUCAAACCACCGUAAGCUGCGCCGGUAUAGAGCUGGUGUGGUGAGCGUUACGGAAAAGGUCUCGCCAGACGGGAUCAGGU